rnacentral:rRNA from 1 species
AGUGGGGAAUCUUAGACAAUGGGGGCAACCCUGAUCUAGCCAUGCCGCGUGAGUGACGAAGGCCCUAGGGUCGUAAAGCUCUUUCGCCAGGGAUGAUAAUGACAGUACCUGGUAAAGAAACCCCGGCUAACUCCGUGCCAGCAGCCGCGGUAAUACGGAGGGGGUUAGCGUUGUUCGGAAUUACUGGGCGUAAAGCGCGCGUAGGCGGGCUGUUAAGUCGGGGGUGAAAUCCCGGGGCUCAACCCCGGAACUGCCCUCGAUACUGGCAGCCUAGAGUUCGAGAGAGGUGAGUGGAAUUCCGAGUGUAGAGGUGAAAUUCGUAGAUAUUCGGAGGAACACCAGUGGCGAAGGCGGCUCACUGGCUCGAUACUGACGCUGAGGUGCGAAAGCGUGGGGAGCAAACAGGAUUAGAUACCUUGGUAGUCCACGCCGUAAACGAUGAAUGCCAGACGUCAGGUUGCUUGCAACUUGGUGUCACACCUAACGGAUUAAGCAUUCCGCCUGGGGAGUACGGCCGCAAGG